AUACUCUGGUUUCUCUUCAGAUCGUAUAAAUCUUUCGCCUUUUACUAAAGAUUUCCGUGGAGAGGAACAUUUAUGAGUUUCGAUAAGUCAUUAAUUUGGCUGAGAUGGCUAAAAUCUCAG